CGGCGCCUGCGAGCGGGGUCUGGGCUUCGCGCGUGAGAAGCCGCGGCGGGAAGUUCCCAGGCCCGGGGACGUGUGCGGGGAACCUGGGCCCGGGCCGCGGGGACAUCGCGCCGGGGAGCUAGGGAGAGGAGUUGGGAUGCAGAAACUUUUACGAUGUCUGCCUUGAACAUCCCACAAAAGCAGGAGAAAGGUGACCACAACUACUGGAAUUUCGAAAGCAACAGACGAAUUAAGUCCAGAUGAGUGUUUCACGACUCUCCAUUCCACCCUCUGAUUUCUAUAGAAACUGUAGCUCAGACAUAUUGCUGAGAAGAAUGCCCAUUGGUCAUAAAGAGGUGCUCUCAGGUGACAAGAAGAGCCCAGCAGCUGAACAGUGCCAUCUGGUGCCCGGGAGGUGUCAUUUUGAAGCUUUUCUCUCCUUUGAACUAAUCUCACCAAACCAUUAAGGCUCACUACCAACUGUAAUGCCAGUUCUAGGGGAUCCGAUGCUCUCUUCUGGCCCCUGUGGGUAUCAGGAACUGGUGAGAUGCUCAGUAGGUAAAGACGCUUGCCAUCAAGUCUGAUGACCUGAGUUCCAUGCACAGGACCCACAUGAUGGAACUGGCUACCACAAGUUGUUCCCUGGCCUAUGUAUGCAUGCCAUGGUAUGUGCAACCCUCUCCCCCAAUAAAUAAAUGUAAUUUAAAAAGCAGAUAA
rnacentral:lncRNA from 1 species